rnacentral:rRNA from 1 species
UCUCAAAGAUUAAGCCAAGCAUGUGUCAGUGCAAGCCUUCUUUAACGGUGAAACCGCGAAUGGCUCAUUAAAUCAGUCAUAAUCCGUUGGACUUUAUGGAACCGUGUCCUUACUCGGAUAACUGUGGUAAUUCUAGAGCUAAUACAUGCCACGAGUUCCCAAAGUGCGUUCCUCACCAUGAGUAGGACGCAAUUAUUAGAACCAAAAAUUGUACCGAAUCCUUACUUGGUGUAAAACUUGGUGAAUCUGGAUAAUCACUGCAGAGCGCUUAUUUUGUGCCGGCGCCUGACCUUUGAAGAGUCUGCCCUAUCAGCUUGAUUGUAGAUUAAAUGUCUACAAUGGCUAUAACGGGUAACGGGGAAUCAGGGUUCGAUUCCGGAGAGGGAGCCYGAGAAACGGCUACCACAUCUAAGGAAGGCAGCAGGCACGCAAAUUGCUCAAUCUUAGCUCGAGGAAGCAGUGACAAAAUAUCUUGAUGCGGGACUCUUCCGAGGCCUCGCAAUCAGGAUGCGUUUACUUAAAGCAUUUGGUUUUCGUUAAGAGGUUCUUACUGCGUCUGUGACUGAGUGUAUAUGAGACCGUCGAUACUUUUAAAUCUAUAAUUGUUGGUGCAAUUAAGUUAGGUACAUUCGUUUAAAAAGUUUAGACUCUAUCACUUUGAAAAAAUUAGAGUGCUCAAAGCACUCAUUGCAUAAUUGCUUGAAUGGUAGUGCAUGGAAUGAUGGAAGAUGAUCUCUACCUCGUUAAGUUUAGAAGCAUAACUUUUUUUAUCUUUGCACCAGGUAAAGAUUCGAGGUUUGAGAUAAUGAUUAAAGGGAACUGCCGGGGGCGUUUGUAUUACGGCGCUAGAGGUGAAAUUCUUGGACCGUCGUAAGACAAACUACUGCGAAAGCAUUCGCCAAGAAUGUUUUCAUUAAUCAAGAACGAAAGUUAGAGUUUAGAAGGAGAUCAGAUACCUCCCUAUUUCUAACCGUAAACUAUGCUAACCGGUUGUCCGUCGGAAGUCAUUUCCGAUGGGCGAGCGACCCCAGGGAAACCAGAGUGUCUGAGUUCCGGGGGAAGUAUGGUUGCAAAGCUGAAACUUAAAGGAAUUGACGGAAGGGCACCACCAGGAGUGGAGCCUGCGGCUUAAUUUAACUCAACACGGGAAAACUCACCAGCCCCAGAAACAUUUAUUGAAGAUUGAAAGCUCUUUCAUGAUUAUGAGGAUGGAGGUGCAUGGCCGUUCUUAUUUGGUGGAGCGAUCUGUCUGGUUAAUUCCGAUAACGAACGAGAUUCUUUUUUACUAAAUAGAAGGUAGAUCUGAUCCCGAAAGUUUUUGGGGGUGCUUACGUCGGGUAGUCUAUCUUUCUUCUUAGAAAAAUCAAUGGUGCUCUAAUCAGUUGACAGGAAGAGCAAUAACAGGUCUGUGAUGCCCUUAGAUGUUCUGGGCCGCACGCGCGCUACAAUGCACGGUGCAACACGUCCCCCUUCUCCCUAAUGGAGCGGGUAACCGGUUGAAAUCCGGGCCUACUUGGGAUUGGGGCUUGCAAAUAUUUCCCAUGAACGAGGAAUUCCCAGUAAGCGUUGGCUCAUUUAAGUCGCGCUGAUUACGUCCCUGCCCUUUGUACACACCGCCCGUCGCUACUACCGAUUGAAUGAUUCAGUGAGAACAUUGGACUGUCGUUUUAAGGGCUUGAACUGACGGGAAGAUGUUCAA